rnacentral:rRNA from 1 species
AGUCGAACGAUGAAGCCCUUCGGGGUGGAUUAGUGGCGAACGGGUGAGUAACACGUGGGCAAUCUGCCCUUCACUCUGGGACAAGCCCUGGAAACGGGGUCUAAUACCGGAUAACACUCCUGCCCGCAUGGGUGGGGGUUGAAAGCUCCGGCGGUGAAGGAUGAGCCCGCGGCCUAUCAGCUUGUUGGUGGGGUGAUGGCCCACCAAGGCGACGACGGGUAGCCGGCCUGAGAGGGCGACCGGCCACACUGGGACUGAGACACGGCCCAGACUCCUACGGGAGGCAGCAGUGGGGAAUAUUGCACAAUGGGCGAAAGCCUGAUGCAGCGACGCCGCGUGAGGGAUGACGGCCUUCGGGUUGUAAACCUCUUUCAGCAGGGAAGAAGCGAAAGUGACGGUACCUGCAGAAGAAGCGCCGGCUAACUACGUGC